UGCGCUUGUGAUGCUGAUGCAGUCUUACUUGGCUAUUCUUCCACCUUCCAUCUUCAUGUGGAAUUGUCAAGCACUUGAAAAAUCAGUUUGGAAACUAUAGGCAGUGAGUGAUUUAUUGAAAAGAAUAUUUUAUGCAAUUAUCUGUGGAUACUGGAAGCAAGAGAUUAUAUAAGCCAACACUUCAGUAAAUGGUGUUAAGAUCAUGUCAACAAGGGCUCAAUUGAAUGCAAUUCAAUAAGCAUUUAUAAGGCACCUAUAGUUUGCAAGACAUUGUGAAGUUGAGUUCAUUUUCUUCCCUUUAAUGCAGGAGACAUUGGAAUUCUGGAAUUUCAACCUGACUUUGGUCAAUUCUUCUGUUGCCCAUUAGCUAUAAAGACAGCUAGCUGGCCAUGCACACUUCAGGGAGGGGCCUACUGAUAUUUACUGUGUCACCUCAAGGCUCAGUGAGUGUUCCAGGAACUGACUUUCCAUAGUAUGAUGACCUGUAAAAGCAGCCCUUCCAUUUACAUUUCAAACUCCAAGUCAGCCGUGGCCGUGUCUGAAUGAGAGCGGUACAGGAUAAUGGGUCAAAUGUAAUUAGCGGGCCAAAUAGCUGUACGGUCCAGGCUGAUUUAUUUUGUGCCCAUCAGAUUCCAAGAACCUCAGUGUUUAAAGGUCUAGACUUGUCUUCCUGACAACGGGC
rnacentral:lncRNA from 1 species